UCGGGAAUUUUGCGCAAUGGGCGAAAGCCUGACGCAGCAACGCCGCGUGAGGGAUGAAGGCCUUCGGGUUGUAAACCUCUUUUCUCAGGGACGAUAAUGACGGUACCUGAGGAAUAAGUCACGGCUAACUACGUGCCAGCAGCCGCGGUAAUACGUAGGUGGCUAGCGUUGUCCGGAUUUACUGGGCGUAAAGAGCGCGCAGGCGGUCGUUCAAGUCGAGUGUGAAAGCCCCCGGCUCAACUGGGGAGGGUCACUCGAUACUGAUCGACUCGAAGGCAGGAGAGGGAAGCGGAAUUCCCGGUGUAGUGGUGAAAUGCGUAGAUAUCGGGAGGAACACCAGUGGCGAAGGCGGCUUUCUGGCCUGUUCUUGACGCUGAGGCGCGAAAGCUAGGGUAGCAAACGGGAUUAGAUACCCCCGUAGUCC
rnacentral:rRNA from 1 species